rnacentral:rRNA from 1 species
CAGUAGCCACGGGAAUACAGAGGGUGCGAGCGUUAAUCGGAUUUACUGGGCGUAAAGCGUGCGUAGGCGGCUUCUUAAGUCGGAUGUGAAAUCCCUGAGCUUAACUUAGGAAUUGCAUUCGAUACUGGGAAGCUAGAGUAUGGGAGAGGAUGGUAGAAUUCCAGGUGUAGCGGUGAAAUGCGUAGAGAUCUGGAGGAAUACCGAUGGCGAAGGCAGCCAUCUGGCCUAAUACUGACGCUGAGGUACGAAAGCAUGGGGAGCAAACAGGAUUAGAUACCCCCGUAGUCCAUGUCUCUUAUAA